rnacentral:rRNA from 1 species
AAUGAACGUUGGCGGCGUGGAUUAGGCAUGCAAGUCGCACGAGAAACCAAUUAGCUUGCUAUGAGGUGGACAGUGGCGAAAGGGAGAGUAACGCGUGGUUACAUGCCCUCGAGACCGGGAUAGUGUCGGGAAACUGGCAGUAAUACCGGAUAACAUCUUUGGAUCAAAUGGUGUGAUUCCGCUCGAGGCUUGGACCGCGUACUAUUAGCUUGUUGGUGAGGUAAUGGCUCACCAAGGCUGCGAUGGUUACCGGGUGUGAGAGCAUGGCCCGGCUCACUGGGACUGAGACACUGCCCAGACAUCUACGGAUGGCUGAAGUCGAGAAUCUUCGGCAAUGGACGAAAGUCUGACCGAGCGACGCCGCGUGCGGGAUGAAGGCCCUCGGGUUGUAAACCGCUGUCAGUUGUUAGGAAAUCCAUGAGGGUUCUCUCUCAUGGUUGACCGAUCUUCAGAGGAAGGACGGGCUAAGUUCGUGCCAGCCGCCGCAGUAAAAC